rnacentral:lncRNA from 1 species
CUUCUCUCUCUUAUCUCUUCUUCUCUCUCCUCUCUCUUCUCUCCCACUUUUCCCCCCACGUGACCGAAAGCCCCCCUUCCCCUCGUUUCUCGCCCGUGAAAACCAGAGACGAGGAAGAAGAAGCCGCACGGUUGCAACUCGCCGGAGCCGUCGCCGCCCGCACCGCCGCCCGGACGCCCACCGCUCGCCGCCGUUCCGUCGUCCGCGCGCCCCCGUGUCUUCAGCUCACUGCCGUCCCUCCCCCGUGCGAGUCCAACCGCUGCCCAGCUCAGUCCGGCGCCUCCAGCCACCGCCUACCGCCGUCCGGCCACCGCCUACCGCCGUCCGGCCACCGCGCCACCCCCCAACGUCCCUCUCGGUCUCCGCCGGCCUCCCCUCGCCGCCCUAGCCACUGGACGAGCUUCGUCCAGCCAAGAACAGUGGCUGGAAAAAUGGGUUUCCAGCCCUGUUCAAGGCCCGUUUUGGGCCCUUUCCGGGCCCCGAACCCGAGCCGUGCUUUGGGAAGAAUCGUUCCUCGCGUCGCCCCCGUCGGAUUGAUCCGAUUUGCGCGCGAUUUAGUGAGUAAUCUCACUAAUCCCGGAUUAGUUGGCUAAUUAUGCUUAAGGUUGGUUUAGUUUUAAUUAAUUAUGUUUAGGUUGUUAUAUUAGAAUAAAUUAGCAAUUAUUAGUCAAAUGUGAUGCGAUUUAGAUAAAUUGAUUGCGCAAUUAGCAAGUAAACGUGGUCUACUAAUUAUUGGAAGUGCCUCAGGAUUUUUUUCCGAUCCUUUAGGCUUUUCGGGCCUAAGUAGAAUUUUUAGUAUUUAAAUAUUAAUUUUCAGAAUUAAAUUAAAUAAUUAUUUAUUUUCCAAAAAUUCAACUGAGAUGGUCCGGAACCAGAAUUUUAUACUGAUGACCGUGGGGGAGUCCGUUUAUUUAAUCGGGCUUUAUUUUGAGCUAAAUUGAAUUUUUAAUAUUAAUUAUUUAAUUUUCGAAAUUAAUUAAUUAAUUAUUUAUUUUCCGAAAAUUCAAUUGAGAUGGCUAGUGACCGGAAAAUUAUGCUGAUGACCGUGGCGUGGUCCGCUUAUUUAAUUGAGUUGUAAUUUGUAUGGAAUUGAUUUAAUUAUGAAUUUUUAAGAUAUAUUCCUAAACGGUUGUUGUUAAUGAUUUCAUUGAGAAAUUGUUGGGUAUUGAUUGUCGAUGUCGAAAGUGGUCGAGUGGGACCGUAAAGCCAUUGAAUUUCGAAAGUGGUCGAGUGGGACCGUAAAGCCAUUGAAUAUCGAAAGUGGUCGAGUGGGACCGUAAAGCCAUUGAAUUUCGAAAGUGGUCGAGUGGGACCGUAAAGCUAUUGAAUUUCGUAAGUGGUCGAGUGUGAUUGUAAAGCCAUUGAAUUUCGAAAGUGGUCGAGUGGGACCGUAAAGUCAUUGAAUUUCGAAAGUGGUCGAGUAGGACCGUAAAGCCAUUGAAUAUUGAAUGUUAUCGAGUGGUGGACUGUGUCUUCCACCUUUGCUUAAGAUGUGAUCUGAGGAUCGUAGUUCGUAAUUAGGGAUUGAGAUGGAAUAAUCGAAUCGACCUAGAAAUGGUCUGACUGACAUGUAAUCGACUAGGUCGAUUGAUCAUUGCUUUGAUUUGAUGUCGUGAAUUGAUUGACUGAUUGGAAAGGACUGUGAGUGGUCUUGUUGGCAUGUAAUCGAUUAGAUCGAUUUGAUCGAUGCUUCGAUCAGUGAUAUGAUUGCUUGGGUGCCUAUUAUGAAUUGUACUGACUUGCAGGUGGGAUCUGAGGCCAAGGUAAGUUCUCUGCCCUGUGCGUGUUUAUGCAACCUAUAGUAUAAUGGUUUACUAAUCAGGCUUAGUGGGGUAGAACUCGCUGAGACGUAGUCUCAUCCCAGUUUGGGGAAAACAUUUCAGGACCCCGAUGAGGAGUUGAUGAGGAGUCUGAGAAGGAGAACUCGGAGGUGAAACUUAAGGAGAAAGGUUUUUGGGAGAAGAAGAUAAUCCCGAGAAGAGCCUUAAGUAUAGCCUGGAUGGCUGAGAGUUUAUCUUAUUUUGAGAUCUCCUUUUUGAUGUGAUUAAAGUUUAGAGUAAAAAGUUGUAGAGUGCUCUGGUUUGUGUUUUGUACAAAAGUUUGAUUAUAAAUUUCAAUAUGAAAAAUAUGGCCCUGAUUUUCUAUCCCAUCGUUUUAUUGUCUGGGGAUUUUAACUGCUUCCACAUGUGCGUAAUAAAUGAAAGGGUCGGCGAUACAUUGUCCUGGAAUAUCGCAUUAUAAAAUCGACCA